rnacentral:lncRNA from 1 species
CAUCUAAAUUUUCCCCUUGAGUACCCCUGAACUCCGUCCACGAUUUAAGAGUUGUUAAGCCAGCAGCUCUUUCAGACGAUUGUGAUGUAGACGAAGUAGGGGUUGGAAUAUUUGGCCUAGCAUGCUCUAACGCCUGUUUAUAAGCAUUAAAAACAGUUUGAGCAUUAACUUUAAUUGAUGCUUUCGCAUCAGCUAGUGUAGCAAUUUCGUCUUCUGAAAGAUC